CGAUGAUCCAUCCGGCUCAAUCAUGACUCUACCAAGUCUGUCCUUUUGACCAGGAGCUAGAGCAGACAUCGUAUCAUAUGGUGUAGCACUAGGUGUAGCUGUAGACGAGGGUGAUACAUCAAGAUGCACAAAACGCUGAGUCAAUGGAGGCGUACCGGCCAUAGCAUCUGACUGCUCGCUACUAGAAUCUCCAAGCCUCAUGGCAGAUAACUAAGGAGAUGUACAUGUGGGAGAUGGAGUACCUGCCGAUAAGGGUCGUGCUCGACGAAUAGCCUGUAAAGGUAGGUCCUCGUAGCGUCGUGAAGGCAAUGGCUGUGAAGUAACUGAAGCACCGACUGGUCGACGAUAAUUAGGAUAAUAUUGUCGAGGAUCCGUUGUACCAAACGGAACAACAAAUAAAUGAGUAUCAUGGCUGAUGCGCUCUGGAGCAAAAGAAAUAGAUCCUGCAAUAUCCUCAGGAUAUAUCGGUCUCCUAGAAUUCUUCUUCUUAGCCUGUUUAGUCUGGCUAACUCCAAGAUGCUCGUGAUGUCUAUCAUCGUCACCGCCUGAUGACAUAUGUAUGCAAAUUUACAUGUAUAAUAUAUAUAAAAAUCAUAAAUUAAAUAAAAUUAGCAAAAUACAGUUACAUAUAUACUAGCUAGCUUUCAUUCUACACUAUUCCUCCUCGCUUGUUUCAAUUCCAUCAUUCUCCCAUUCUUCUUCCUCAGUUUGUUUCAUUUUUCAAUUAUCGUCCCAUUCUUCGUCAUCAAAUGAUUCAUUUUCCUUAUUCUCAGAUAUUUCUUCCUCAACGUUCAGUAUCUCAUCAUCAGAUACUUCUUCUAAUAUGUGUUGAGGAUGUUGUAGUAUGGUUUCCAAUUCAACAUCAACUUGUUGUUGAACAAUUGCAAUAUCAUUUUGAUACGCCACAUCUAAGACAUUGUCAAUUUCAAUUCUUCCCACGAGCUCACUUUUUAUAACAACCCACCAAUCAGCUUUGUCUCUACGCAAUGGAUAUGAAGCGUAAUACACUUGUUUAGCAUUUUGUGCAAUAAUAAAAGGAUCAUAACUUAUGUAUUUCCU
rnacentral:lncRNA from 1 species